CUCUUCCCCUCCUCUUUUCUUCUCUGGAUCCACCUAGCUCCGCCCGCAGGACGAGCCGCUCCCGCCCCCGACGCUUGUCCUCCACCUCCGAUCUGUGGUGGUGGCCGAAGAGCGUGGCGAGGACCAAGAACUUCCCCGCGCGCCGCUUCUCGUACUCAUAGCCGAUGUCGCCCUCCUCGAGCGCGCCGCUGCCGCCGUAGGCCGGCCCCACCUGCGGUGUCUGGAAGAAGAGUAGGCUCGGGUGGUGCCUAAGCGCGCCGCCCGCGCCCGCGGCGUCCGACUUCCUACGGGACAGGUUUAUACAAUUCGGAGACACAGGGCAAGAUCUUGGAAGGUGUACAAGCUUUGCUGGUUUGCACUAGCAAAAUGAUGGCGAACCAACCGACGGCACCGGCAAGAGCAAGACUUCUUCCCCCGGACUCAGAUGAGCCUUCGGACGAUGAAGAAGCUGGUUAAGAAGGAUCUGGAUGCGAGCUCUGCUUGUGUUCUGCUUUACAUCUGUCUUUUGCCCUUAUGUUUGGGGUUUUCACUGAAACUUGAAGUCUGUGUUGUGACUCUGCUGUGAUCUGGGAGCCCGGAUCAGAACCAGAUAGUUUCUCCUAGGCUGUUUCAGUCCUAGUUGCCCCCUUUUCUUCCUUUAGCUCCUUUCUGCCAUCUGGUGACUUGUUUCUGUAAACUUUAGAAUUUCCGUUCAUGUAAUGGAAAUGGGUUUUCCUCGUGUCGAAAAAAAAUGUAUCUAAGGAUCACCAAUUUACAUUCAAAUAUAACAUCUCUCAACAUGGGCACUA